rnacentral:rRNA from 1 species
AUUGAACGCUGGCGGCAUGCUUUACACAUGCAAGUCGAACGGCAGCGCGGGCUUCGGCCUGGCGGCGAGUGGCGAACGGGUGAGUAAUACAUCGGAACGUGCCCAGUAGUGGGGGAUAGCCCGGCGAAAGCCGGAUUAAUACCGCAUACGACCUGAGGGUGAAAGCGGGGGAUCUUCGGACCUCGCGCUAUUGGAGCGGCCGAUGUCGGAUUAGCUAGUUGGUGGGGUAAAGGCCUACCAAGGCGACGAUCUGUAGCUGGUCUGAGAGGACGACCAGCCACACUGGGACUGAGACACGGCCCAGACUCCUACGGGAGGCAGCAGUGGGGAAUUUUGGACAAUGGGGGAAAGCCUGAUCCAGCAAUGCCGCGUGUGGGAUGAAGGCCUUCGGGUUGUAAAGCACUUUUGGCGGGGACGAAAAGGACUGUGCCAAUACCACGGUGCGAUGACGGUACCCGCAGAAUAAGCACCGGCUAACUACGUG